CCUAAGGUAGCGAAAUUCCUUGUCGGGUAAGUUCCGACCUGCACGAAUGGCGUAAUGAUGGCCAGGCUGUCUCCACCCGAGACUCAGUGAAAUUGAACUCGCUGUGAAGAUGCAGUGUACCCGCGGCAAGACGGAAAGACCCCGUGAACCUUUACUAUAGCUUGACACUGAACAUUGAGCCUUGAUGUGUAGGAUAGGUGGGAGGCUUUGAAGUGUGGACGCCAGUCUGCAUGGAGCCGGCCUUGAAAUACCACCCUUUAAUGUUUGAUGUUCUAACGUUGGCCCGUAAUCCGGGUUGCGGACAGUGUCUGGUGGGUAGUUUGACUGGGGCGGUCUCCUCCUAAAGAGUAACGGAGGAGCACGAAGGUUGGCUAAUCCUGGUCGGACAUCAGGAGGUUAGUGCAAUGGCAUAAGCCAGCUUGACUGCGAGCGUGACGGCGCGAGCAGGUGCGAAAGCAGGUCAUAGUGAUCCGGUGGUUCUGAAUGGAAGGGCCAUCGCUCAACGGAUAAAAGGUACUCCGGGGAUAACAGGCUGAUACCGCCCAAGAGUUCAUAUCGACGGCGGUGUUUGGCACCUCGAUGUCGGCUCAUCACAUCCUGGGGCUGAAGUAGGUCCCAAGGGUAUGGCUGUUCGCCAUUUAAAGUGGUACGCGAGCUGGGUUUAGAACGUCGUGAGACAGUUCGGUCCCUAUCUGCCGUGGGCGCUGGAGAACUGAGGGGGGCUGCUCCUAGUACGAGAGGACCGGAGUGGACGCAUCACUGGUGUUCGGGUUGUCAUGCCAAUGGCACUGCCCGGUAGCUAAAUGCGGAAGAGAUAAGUGCUGAAAGCAUCUAAGCACGAAACUUGCCCCGAGAUGAGUUCUCCCUGACUCCUUGAGGGUCCUGAAGGAACGUUGAAGACGACGACGUUGAUAGGCCGGGUGUGUAAGCGCAGCGAUGCGUUGAGCUAACCGGUACUAAUGAACCGUGAGGCUUAACCUU
rnacentral:rRNA from 1 species